CUACGGGUCGCUCCAGUGGGGAAUAUUGCACAAUGGGCGCAAGCCUGAUGCAGCCAUGCCGCGUGUAUGAAGAAGGCCUUCGGGUUGUAAAGUACUUUCAGCGGGGAGGAAGGGAGUAAAGUUAAUACCUUUGCUCAUUGACGUUACCCGCAGAAGAAGCACCGGCUAACUCCGUGCCAGCAGCCGCGGUAAUACGGAGGGUGCAAGCGUUAAUCGGAAUUACUGGGCGUAAAGCGCACGCAGGCGGUUUGUUAAGUCAGAUGUGAAAUCCCCGGGUUCAACCUGGGAACUGCAUCUGAUACUGGAGAGCUUGAGUCUCGUAGAGGGGGGUAGAAUUCCAGGUGUAGCGGUGAAAUGCGUAGAGAUCUGGAGGAAUACCGGUGGCGAAGGCGGCCCCCUGGACGAAGACUGACGCUCAGGUGCGAAAGCGUGGGGAGCAAACAGGAUUAGAUACCCCCGUAGUC
rnacentral:rRNA from 1 species